GUUCACAUAACACCACUAGAGGAAAGACAACAUACAUCUCAUCAAAAUAUCGAACGAAUACCAAAUUCACAUGACUACUUAUAGCAAGACUUUUCCCAUGUCCUCAGGAACAAACGUAAGUACUCACAAAUCAUAUUCAUGUUCAUAAUCAUAGGGGUAUUAAUAUGCAUAAAGGAUCUGAACAUAUGAUCUUCCACCAAAUAAACCAACUAGCAUCAACUACAAGGAGUAAUCAACACUACUAGCAACCCACAGGUACCAAUCUGAGGUUUUGGGACAAAGAUUGGAUACAAGAGAUGAACUAGGGUUUGAGAGGAGAUGGUGCUAGUGAAGAUGUUGAUGGAGAUUGACCCCUCCCGAUGAGAGGAUCGAUGGUGAUCACGAUGGUGAUGAUUUCCCCCUCCCGGAGGGAUGUUUCCCCGGCAAAACAGCUCCGCCGGAGCCCUAGAUUGGUUUCGCCAGGUUCCGCCUCGUGGCGGCGGUGCCUCGUCCCGAAAGCUUGCCCCUUAUUUUUCUUCGGACGGAAGACUUCAUAUAGCAGAAGAUGGCCACCGGAGGCCUGCCAGGGGCCCACGAGGCAGGGGGCACGCCCAGGGGGUAGGGCACGCCCCCCACCGUCGUGGAUGGUGGGUGGCCCCCCUCUGGUUGAUUCUUUUGCCAGUAUUUUUUAUUAAUUCCAAAAACUACCUCCGUGAAGUUUCAGGACUUUUGGAGCUAUGCAGAAUAGGUCUCUAAUAUUUGCUCCUUUUCCAACCCAGAAUUCCAGCUGCCGGCAUUCUCCCUCUUCAUGUAAACCUUGUAAAAUAAGAGAGAAUAGGCAUAAGUAUUGUGACAUAACAUGUAAUAACAGCCCAUAAUGCAAUAAAUAUUGAUAUAAAAGCAUGAUGCAAAAUGGACGUAUCAACUCCCCCAAGCUUAGACCUCGUUUGUCCUCGAGUGGAAGCCGAUAACGAAAAAUGUGUCCACAUGUUUAGAGAUAGAGGUGUCGAUAAAAUAAAAUACGGACAUGAGGGCAUCAUGAUCAUUCUUAUAUCAGCAACACAUAUAUAUAUUGUCAUAUGAUUUCUUAUGCUAAAGUAACAAUCUAUUCACAAUGUAAAGUAUGAAUCAGAAACUUCAUUGAAAACUAACAAACUAUGAUCUCGGUCAUUGAGGCAAUUGCAAUUUUUCAUAACAUAGGAAAGAGUCAAUAUAAGAGCUUUUCAGCAAGUUCACAUACUCAACUAUCAUUUAGUCUUUCACAAUUGCUAACACUCACGCAAUACUUAUGGGUAUGGAGUUUUAGUCAGACACAGAGAAAGAUAGGGGCUUAUAGUGUUGCCUCCCAACCUUUUAUGUGGCACCCCGAUCCGCAUGGAGCAGGGGCCUUCGCACGUCAGCCCAGUAUAACACCUGACGCACGACAGGUCCAUAAUACAGCAUUCCAGGUACAAUAAUAUUCAUCAAAUACAUGUAUAUGAGAUUACAUCCUUGAUGAAUACAACCAUCUGGCAUAGCCCUACGACUAUUUGAAUGGCAGCGGAAGUCUAUUAAAAAGGCGGCGGAAGUCUUGGUUUGGCAGCAUAACAACUCUGGCUGGGCUCCACAACUCACAGGACUGGCAAGAUUACGGCCUAGCACGACGGAUCAAGCGAGCAAUACGGGUACGACCUACAAAACUGGCAUGACACGCCAGGUCAGUACAUUGAAUGUACUUGCAAGACAACCAAAUACAUAGUAUCCAAACAAGCUAAAGACAAAGCGAGAACCGAGCGCAUGCAACAGCCUAUCUCAUAUCAAUUACUAAACAUGGCACGAUAAAAAUCAACUAAGCAUGAACAAAAUCAUAGCAUCUACUAACAUGGCAAUGACAUGGCAUAUCAAAACAUGAUUAUAACAUGGCAAUGGCAAAACAUAGCAUAUCAUCUCAAUCAUGGCAUAAUUUAACAUAUAAAUCAAAGCAUGGCAUGGCAUCAUGAAACUAUGCUGAAAAUAAGCUACUGAUCAUAUCCGAUGCAGACAUAACAGGUUAACUAUAUGCAACCAUCUUCUGUUCUAUCAUGGUUCUUUAAAUGCAAAUAAUGAUAUAUUACUCAUGCAAUGCAACCAAACUUGUGCACCGAGUCCCUCGGACUCUCUUAUCAACUGUGAUCAUCUCUGGAUCACAAACACACCACCAAAGUGGUCUUUCUCAAGAACAACUCGUGAUCCUUACGGCGAUCACAACCACUUAUCUCAUCAUCAAAAUAUCGUCGUGACUCCUCACGACUAUCUCAUAGUUCAAGUUACCAUAUUCUUGUUAUCACAUAUUUAUUUACCAACUUAAUUAUUUCGGUUUGCCCUCCAUUUCGACCAAGACCUGAUAGUGGGAUCUACUACGAACUGUGUUGCUAUCGAUAGACUUUAUAUACACUCUGCAGAGGUAGCACACUGUACCGACACCACGGAACCCAUGGCCUCGUCAUCCCAUUCGGGUGGACCAACGGCAUUCCGACGAAACCAACCUACUGCCAUGACGCUCUCCCGGCCACUCCGACCCAAUCCCCAACGGGCUGGUCCUGGGUGGCCCCGUGUCUACCAAAGACACCCCGACCACCGUCGUGGUCAACUCCCACUCGGGGACUGGUACCAAAAAUCUCAAAAACGAGCACACAAGGUUAUGUCUGCUUACCUGAUCAGGGUAAGCACGCCCAUAACCUUCCCUAGUUGGAGGCACCGACGAGAGGCACGACAAUAGAUCGCAUUAAGGCCUUCCCAAAAAGGCAAAUGUGGCUGCACUAAAAAAGUUCGGUUUGGCGGCACUAUGACUCGAUCCCAUCGAUGACAGAGGAGGUUUGUUAUUAUUAAGUCAUUUUAUUUCCUUCUCCAUCAUCAUGAACAUAUUUAACAUGAGUGCAACAUGUCGCAUACAAAUGCACGAACAAAAUAUUGAACUCCUCAAGUGCACAACUAUAACAUAAAGGACACGACAAUAGUAUAUCAACGGUGCAUUACAAUCCUCAUAACAGUUUAUAACGAUGACAUGCAAAUAAAGUAGAGUAGUGGCAUGGCAUUAUUAAUAAUAACAUUCUAAUUAACAUGGCAAAGGUAUCAUGAAACACAAGCAUGCAAGAUAGGCAUAAAGAAAUAACUGCCGAUGAAAACGAUAUAAAACUGCAACUACACACACACAAGGUGCAAGCAAAGUCAACAUGCAAGUUCAGGGCUCAUGAUAAGAGGUUGGCUUGCCUGGGGGUCGACAAAUACUCCGGGAAGAAGUGUGAAACGAUCGCAAAAAGAUUUGCCGGAAACAGUUCUCUCUCGGAGGGGGCUGUUUACGGGCAAGGGCAAAAUGGUCAUUUUCACUGGGUGAAAAUAUUAUGAAAAUGAUAUCAACGGAACAGGCUCGACGAAACAAAGACGUGGGCUUUGGAAUCACCUGAUUCGGAGCUACGGGUAAAAAGAUACGGACGUUUAAAGCUCAGGGACUAGUCUGUAAAAAUACUUCUACAAACAGGUCCCUGGUAGUUUAAACAGAACGUGUCUUUUCUGAAAAUACAUUUUCCAGAGAGGGAAACGUAUUCCCGGCCGAAGGAGAGGAAAAAUGCGCUUUCUGAGAUUGAAAGCGCACUUUCCAGAAAUGCGCUUUCGCGCGGGGAAAGCGGCGUCGCGGCGGGGGCGCCGCCAAUUAUCUGACGUGGCACUCGGCCCGGCCAUUCGGUCGCCGACAGGUGAGG
rnacentral:lncRNA from 1 species